rnacentral:rRNA from 1 species
UACGUAGGGUGCGAGCGUUGUCCGGAAUUAUUGGGCGUAAAGAGCUCGUAGGCGGUGUGUCGCGUCGGUCGUGAAAACUUGGGGCUUAACUCUGAGCUUGCGGUCGAUACGGGUAUCACUGGAGUUCGGCAGGGGAGACUGGAAUUCCUGGUGUAGCGGUGAAAUGCGCAGAUAUCAGGAGGAACACCGGUGGCGAAGGCGGGUCUCUGGGCCGAUACUGACGCUGAGGAGCGAAAGCGUGGGGAGCAAACAGG